AGGGUUGCGCGGACGCGAACACCACCAGACCAGACCACCUCCUCCUCGAGCUUCCCCUCCUCCCCCUCUUUCCAAAUUUCCCCAAUCUCGCGUCGCUUCUUCCCCGAAUUCCCCAACCUCGCAUCCCGAUUCCUCCCGCGGAUCGUGCGGCGACCUCGCCCAAAAUCCCCCGCCGGAUUGGCCUCGCCGAUGGCUUAAUUGGCGAUUUCGACUCUGCAAUGGAGGCGCAGUGGCUCGCCGAGUACCCGCACCAGGGCGCCGACAAGCGGCCGCGGAAGCGGCCCCGCCUCGCCUGGGAUGUCGCGCCCCCGCUGUUCCAGCCCCCCAAGGCAAUUCCUAUGCUAUAUUGCGGGCAGGAACUAAUCAAUGGAAAUUUUGCGACCGCUUUUCUGCCACCGCCACCAAUCUAUUAUACAGGACCACCACGCAAUCUUUCGCCUCCCUGGAGGCCAGAUGACAAGGAUGGACACUAUGUUUUCGCAGUUGGGGAGAACCUUACACCAAGAUAUAGAAUACUUAGCAAGAUGGGUGAAGGGACUUUUGGACAAGUCUUAGAGUGCUGGGACUUGGAACACCAAGAGACAGUGGCUAUCAAAAUUGUGCGCUCCCUUCAGAAAUAUCGAGAGGCUGCUAUGAUUGAAAUUGAUGUGCUUCAGAGGCUUGGGAAGCAUGAUUUUACUGGUAGCCGCUGUGUGCAAAUACGGAAUUGGUUUGACUAUCGUAAUCAUAUAUGUAUAGUAUUUGAGAGGCUCGGACCAAGCUUAUAUGACUUCCUCCGAAAGAAUAGUUAUCGUGCAUUUCCGAUCGACCUUGUUCGGGAAUUUGCCAGACAAAUAUUAGAGUCUGUUGCAUUUAUGCAUGACCUGCGACUUAUUCACACAGAUCUGAAACCUGAGAACAUUCUCCUUGUUUCAUCAGAAUCUAUCCGGGUGCCUGAUUAUAAGGUUACAAUACGGCCCCCAAAGGAUGGUUCCUUUUUUAAGAAUCUUCCAAAAUCUAGUGCUAUCAAGCUGAUUGAUUUUGGAAGUACAACAUUCGAACACCAAGACCACAAUUAUGUGGUAUCAACAAGGCAUUAUCGUGCCCCUGAAGUUAUCCUUGGUCUUGGGUGGAAUUAUUCAUGUGAUUUGUGGAGUGUGGGAUGCAUUUUAGUUGAACUCUGCUCGGGUGAAGCUCUCUUUCAAACACAUGAAAAUUUGGAGCAUUUGGCUAUGAUGGAGAGAGUUCUAGGUCCCCUUCCAAAACAUAUGAUUGUCAGAGCUGAGUAUGUAUACAAGUCGCCGUGCUGAAAAGUAUUUCAGACGUGGAUUAAGGUUGGACUGGCCAGAGGGGGCUGCCUCACGGGAAAGCCUGAAGGCAGUCUGGAAAUUGCCUCGUCUGCAGAAUCUGGUAAUGCAACAUGUUGAUCAUUCUGCUGGAGAUCUUAUAGAUCUUCUUCAAGGCCUUCUUCGGUAUGAUCCUGAUGCGCGCCUAAAGGCACGUGAAGCUCUUCAACACCCGUUCUUUACAAGAUGCCACAGAAGAUGUGGUUACUGAGACUAUACUGAGAUUAAAAUGCUCAAUGCUGUAUUUCUUCAUUUUGAUGUGUAAGAACCACCCAAAAAAAAAGUGAAGAUGUUCCACAAAAAUGAAAUGUGCUAACUCGCAUUCUGUUCGAUGAUGUGCAAGUACUAGCAGGUAGCAUGCAGAAAUCUCAACUUGGUGGAGUCAAUUGAGGAUAGAGGGAAUGCCAGUGGCUCUCAUGAAAGAUUGGUACACUGUAUUUGAUGGUGAGCUGGUGAUAUAAGGAUCUCAGUAUUUCUCGUGAAAAUUGGUGAUGGCCUGUUCACUUGACCUUCAUGUCCAUUCUAUUUUACCUUGAAAUGCAUGAUUAGCCCUGGAAACUAACCGGACGUUAAAGUUACACCCUGGUGAGUUUUGCUUGUGACUGGUCAUAUUUCUUAAAACAAGUCUCGGGUGUUGGAUAAAAGUUUGGUAAUUAACUGAGCUUUUGAGUCUGACACUUGGCUUGGAAAGGUUUGCGACAACUUUGAAAUUGUGGACAGUAGUCUAAAUCUCAAGAUGUGCUCAACUUUGAAAUAUUGUCAACUGUGACUAAAGUCCAGAAUCCUUGAUAGCAGCUGAUAUAUAUCUAAUUUACCUGAAUAUACCGUAAAGUACUGGCUUUAAAAUCUUACUGGUUCCCAUAUUACUAGCAGCCACCAAGCUCUUGGAUUGGAGAUGUUUGUUAGAUAAAUCCUUGUGGGUUUUGAGCUUAAAACUAUACUCAACCUGUGUCUAUCGUUUGCGCCAGGCUCGUUUUGGACAUGCGAAAGAUUUUACUCAUCGAAGGUGGAUUUGGAGAGCUGCUGCUUCCUACUGUGAAUGGAUGAGCAGCUGGUAAAUGUUUUACUCAUUGGGCUACGUGACGUCAGCCCAAAGAUCGCCUCCAAAGCUGUAGCAGCGGGUCAAUUGUACAAGAGCCUGUAACUCUGUAAGGUAUGAUAUACUAACCCUUCGGAACGGGCGCCAACGCUUCCAUCGUCAUGUUACAUGAGAUCGCGUUCGAAGACGGCGAGCAGCAGGUUUGAUCACAGGUUUCGAACCUGGCAUUCUCGUAUAGUCGUAUUUGCUUCGAUCAUCAUAUGUUACAGAGAUCGCGUUUGUUUGAAGACGGCGAGCAGCGGUUUUGAUCACAGGUUUCGAACCAACAACCCUGUACUAAUAUAUACUACUGCAUGUGUUCUUUCAGCGAGGUAGGUUCUUUUUUCUCUUGUUGACCGAUUUAUUGACGUGACUCCCAUUCUCCCACCAAACCCGAGACCCUCAAUUUUUUGUUUCUUAUGAUCUUCAAUUAUUUGGUUGCCUCCGUGUCCCUGA